ACUAUGUGUUCAUGCAACUAUAUUUUUAGGUGGUCCUCAUAUUUGUAAAAACUGCAAUAAAUCCUACAAAGCAAAGAGCGGAUUAUAUACUCACGAAAAAUGGGAAUGUGGAAAAUCAGCUAACUUCACGUGCCCAAUAAAAAGUUGCAGUUAUAAAACGAAAAUAAAGGGAAAUUUAAAGAGGCAUUUUAUGAGAUUACAUAAAGACGAGUUAAAUAACUGAUAAUAUAUCACUCAAGCCCAUUACCCAUGUUUAAGCUGCCCUAAGACGUACCGAACAAAAAGUGGUUUGUAUACUCACCAAAAAUGGGAGUGUGGUAAAUCACCUUCAUUUAAUUGUCUUUUUAAAGGAUGUUACUACCGAACCAAAAGGAAAGGAAAUUUAAAGGCUCACCUUCUAUAUCAUAAAAAAAUUUCUGGUGAUCUUUAGUUAAAAACUAUUUUUUUGUACUUUGACGUUUGUAAAUCUACAUAUAUUUACUAAACAUAAAUUUUCUUCCUUUGCAAAUUCUAAAGCUUAUUUUACCUCUAACUAAAUUUCGUCCGACGGGCAACGUGACAACAGACCAUCAGAUCCCGUGAUUUACAAAAAGUUGCUCUACAUAAAUGGCUUAACCAACAAUAUAAUCAAGCAACUGAAAGGAAUUCCUAAAAUCAAAAUAGCGAAAUAUAACAGCAUACUCAACUACAGCUUAUUCUCGAAGCUUAAAGACCAGACACCGCUUCUAAAUCAGAGUUUAUCACAUCUAUCAACUUUCUUGUCUCGAAUGUGAUGGGCAGUAUAUAAGAGAAACCUCGCAAUGCUUGAAACAAAAAAUAACGCAGUACAAAAGUUGUAGCUGAUUCUAGAUGUAGCUAAUCCGAUUACUACUCUUUUGCAGAUGUUAGUCUAUGUUAGUGCACGUGAUUCUGGGAUGGUUCUGAAUCUAUUCUCUUAUGGCAUUGUAAUGUUACUUAUUAUCACUUAUCACCGUAGAAUAUAAUAUCUAGACUGUGAGCUGCUAUCUAAAAAUGGAUAGAUGAUAAUCGGAGGAGUUUAUCAAAUCGGCGAGAGUGGAAAAUUGACAUGAUCGAUAAACCCAACGUUAUUGGAUAAACCCCGUCGUAGAAAGACACUUCCCAGCUAAUAGGCUCAUUUAACUCAGUCGCAAUCGUCACCCAUUUUUAGAUAGCAGCGCGUAGUCUAUGCUUACCACUAAUUCCUAUUAACCAUUGUUUCUGUUGAAAAUUAAAAUUUCUAUAAUACGUUUAUUUUGACGUUUCGAUAUCUGAAGUGAAAAUCAAAAGUUUAUUUUAACGAUACUUUUAAACUAAACUUAUUUUUAACUGCAAUUGUGGUUAAUUACUAUUAGAGAUAGUAAAAAACCUGAUGCCGGUAUUAGUAUUAGAGGUUUCUUAGUUGUAGACGGUAGUGUUUUAGUGGUAGUGGUACCGCUUGUCUCUUUGAUCAUUUGUACUGCUAAAUAUUUAAUAUAUUUCUUUUCCUUAUUUCAACCAACUGAAGUUUUCCAGUAGUCCAUUACUUUUCGAUCUUUCAUACCAUUAAAUAGAAUGUUCUGGUGUUGUAUUCCUAUGUAAAAUAUUUAUGAUUUAGCAUUUCUAAAUUAUAUUAUUUGUUAUACAGUUAUUGUGUUGUUUUGUUUGCAUCUUCUUAUCUUUUUUACUAACUGCAAUCCUUUUUAUAGCUAUAUUAAUGUAUAUAGCUUUCUAAGUUUGCUUUUUUUC
rnacentral:lncRNA from 1 species